rnacentral:rRNA from 1 species
AUUGAACGCUGGCGGCAGGCCUAACACAUGCAAGUCGAACGAGUGGCGGACGGGUGAGUAAUGUCUGGGAAACUGCCUGAUUGAGGGGGAUAACUACUGGAAACGGUAGCUAAUACCGCAUACCCUCGGAUGGAACCAGAUUGGAUUAGAUUGUAGGUGGGGUAACCGCUCACGUAGGCGGCGCUCCCUAGAUGGUCUGAGAGGAUGCCCAGCCACACUGGAACGGAGACACGGUCCAGACUCCUACGGGAGGCAGCAUGGGGGAAUAUUGCACAAUGGGCGCAAGCCUGCUGCAGCCAUGCCGCGUGUAUGAAGAAGGCCUUCGGGUUGUAAAGUACUUUCAGCGGGGAGGCGUUACCCGCAGAAGAAGCACCGGCUAACUCCGUGCCAGCAGCCGCGGUAAUUC